rnacentral:misc_RNA from 1 species
GAUGAAGAACGUAGCGAAAUGCGAUAAGUAAUGUGAAUUGCAGAAUUCAGUGAAUCAUCGAAUCUUUGAACGCACCUUGCACCCUUUGGCAUUCCGAAGGGUAUGCUCGUUUGAGUGUCAUUGUACUCUCACACUCUCCGAUCCUAUGGAUUCGGGGAGCGGUGGACUUGGGUGUUGCUGCCUUUCCUUGUGGCUCACCUCAAAUGUGUCAGUGCACCUCUUGGUUGGACAUAGUACGGCGUGAUAAGUGUCUUCGCCGGCACCUCGCAAGAGGGUGGCCGAUCGGGAGCUCUGUGCUUUCAAACCGUCUUCGGACAAUUUCUGACAACUUGACCUCAAAUCAAGUAGGACUACCCGCUGAACUUAAGCAUAUCAAUAAGCGGAGGA